AGAAGAUCACAUCGUUGCAGUAGUAAAAGCCAUGAUUAAGAUACCUCAAUUGUUGGACCAUUGGAUCAUCUUUGAUUAUAUUCUCAUAAUUCUGGAGAUUCUGCUCUGAAGGCAUGGAGAACAUAAAAGUAAGCCUUUCUCUGGAGUUCCCUGAGUUUCUCGUUCUUGUCCAUGGAGCUGAACAGGAUAGCAUCGUCACUGCUAUAGCUCGGCAUAGUCUCUGUAUUAUUGAUCGGUAUAUCAGUUGAUUCUACAGCAAACGGAAUCAAGAUCACAAGAAAGUUCACCACCGCUCAGACUAAUUCCAUCAAUGGUAGAGAAAACAGAGAAGGAGAAAACAGAGGAAUCCGAAACUCUAGAAUCGCAAAAGCCAUGAGAAAGUUAACCUGGAAGAGACUUACGAGAUGCUGGAGAAUUUGGGGCUUGAUCUUUGUGGUCCGACAUUGCUGAGAACACAGAGGAAUCGGAGAGAAGAGUCUUGUUGAUGAAGCUUGUGCGUCUUUGAGAGAAACCCUAGAUAGAAAUCGAAGGAUCUUCAACAACGUUGCAUGGGUCGAUGAAAGAAGAAGUUGCGAGAUUUUGGAUUCUCUUACCUUUAGAUGCUCUUUUGGAGUUUUGAACGUAAAAGAGUGAAAUUAUACUUUCUUGUGAGGGAAGUUAGUUCUUGAUCAGUUGAUGAACUUGACUUAAUUGGAUUAAAGUAUCGACACGUCAGCAACUGAAGAAUUUACGGUUAAUAAUUUCAACAUCAUUUACUCAA